rnacentral:lncRNA from 1 species
CUAUUUUUGUUUCCAAAAUUUAUUUUUAAUAUUUUUAAAUUUUGAAAUAGUAAAAAUUUAUUAGUACGACAAUUUUUCUAAACAAUUUUAAAAGUUAUCAUCUUUUUAAGCUAAGUGUUAAAAGAGUUCCUACUUUUUAUGUAGAGAUAUUAUUAGUUUUUGUUUCAAAAAUAGAUCAAAACAAAAAAUGUAUCCUAACAACACCUAAAAAAUUCAUUUUUAAGUGUUACAUGACAUAUAUUUUUCAGCCAUGAAUUAUAUUAAUAAAACUAAGUUAUUGUUGUGUGACUCACAUUUAAAAAAAAAAAAAAAAAAGCUAGCAUUUUUUUUUCUCUUGUGGUUCAGAAGGAACAAUUUUGUAAUAUAUAUAUUGUUAAGAAAGACAAGGUUAGAAUUGUUUUCUUCUUAGAGAGAUCUCUGUUAAUGUUGUAUGUUGAGGUGUGUGCAUAAAAGCUCGAUUCAUAUAAGAGCUUUGAGGGUGUAAUUUUUCAGUGAUAGUGCAUCAUCCAAGUCUCUUUCCCUUCGUGGAUGUAGAUCAAUUUGAUCGAACCAUGUAAAUGAUUGUGUCUGUUUUCUUUUACUACACUAUUGAUUGAAUUCUUGUUAGUUUCCGCAUAUCGCGUCUUGUUAUUUGGUUUUUUCUGCAAAAAAAGUUUAACAAGUGGUAUCAGAGUGAGGUUUGAUUAAGGUGAUCUGAGAUCUAAACGAUCUUAGAAUUUCUAAUCAAAUUUGAAGAAAUUUUCGAAAUGACGACAUCCAAAUUGGAGAUAGAGAAGUUUGAUGGGAAGUGUGAUUUUAAUUUGUGGAAAAUGAAUGUGCAAGAUCUAAACGAUCUUAGAAUUUCUAAUCAAAUUUGAAGAAAUUUUCAAAAUGACGACAUCCAAAUUGGAGAUAGAGAAGUUUGAUGGGAAGUGUGAUUUUAAUUUGUGGAAAAUGAAUGUGCAAGCUUUGCUCGAAAAUCUAGGUCUUAAAGAGGUAAUUAUAGAUACAAAAAAAAAUGACAACUACAAUUACAUUAGAAACCUUGAAGAAAGCAAAGAACCCAAUAAUUUUGAGUCUCGAUGAUUAGGUAUUGAGGAAAAUGUCAAGGGAAAUUUCAGCCUCUACAAUUUGGAAGAAAUUGGAGGAAAUCUAUAUGCUAAAAUCACUUCCUAACAGAAUUUAUCUUAAACAAAAGUUCUUUGGUUUUAAGAUGCAUGAAAGGGAAGUCAAUAGAUGAGAAUAUAGAUAAAUUUACUAAGCUUGUUGUUGAUCUUGAAAGUCUGUGUGUUAAGAUAGAAAAUGAAGACCAAGCAGUGAUACUUUUAAACUCAUUAGCAAAGGUGUUUGAUCAAUUAAGAGACCCUGAAAUAUAGCAAAGAUUCAUUAUCUUUAGAAGGUGUAGUAAGUGCAAUUCAUGCAAAGAAGAUGGACAUAAGGGUUGAAAGAAUAAACACAACCUCUAGUGAAGGUCUUGUUGUACGUGGUAGACCAAAAAAGAGAAACAACAACCAGAAAGGAAAUCAUGACAAAUCAAAGUCAAAGUCAAAGUUUACAAGGAAGUGUUUCCAUUGUCAUAAGGAAGGGCACUACAGAGAAUUUGUAGAUGUGGCAAUAGCUUUUGAAGGCUAUGAUAUUGUUGAUGUACUCAUGGUGGCUAAAAAGGAUUUGACCAAUGAGUGGAUUUUGGAUUCAGGCUAUACAUUUCACAUGUGUCCUAUAAAAUCGUGGUUCUCUAGAUACAUGGAACUCAAAGAAGGAAAAGUUCUCAUGGGGCAUAAUGAGGCUUGCAAGGUGUUUGGAAUUGGCUCCAUUAAACUUAGGUUACAUGAUGCUAUGGAAAGAACGUUAACUAAUGUGAGGUAUGUCUAGACUUAAAAAGAAACUUGAUUUCUAUGGGUAUGUUAGACUCAAUGGGUUGUACAAUAAAAAUUGAGAAUGGAGAAUUGAAGAUUCUAAAAGGUGCAAAGAUAGUGAUGAAAGGGAUCAGAAAAAAUGGCUUGUACACUCUACAAGGUGAAACAGUAGUUGGAACUUCAAUAGUAGCUACAAAAGAUGGAGAUGAAAUAGUAAAGCUUUGGCACAUGAGGCUUGGUCAUGUGAGUGAGAAAUGAUUGCAAAUCUUGAGUAAACAAGGGUUGCUUGGAAAAUAAAAGCAAUUGAGUCUUGGUUUUCGUGAGCAGAGUAUACUAGGGAAGAAAACCAAAAUAAAGUUCAAUUUGAGUCGACAUAUUACAAAAGGAGUGCUAGAGUAUGUGCACUCAAAUCUUUAGGGACCUGCUAGAACUCAAUCCUUAAAUAGUGCCAGGUAUUUUCUGACAUUUGGUGAUGAUUUCAGUAGAAAAGUAUGGGUUUUUAUAUUGAAAUCAAAGAAUGAAACUUUUGAGAAGUUUAAACAACGGAAAGUAAUGGUAGAAAAUCCAACUGGUAGAAAUUUAAAGUGUUUAAAGAUAGAUAAUGAACUUGAGUUUUGUGGAGAGAAAUUCUCUAAUUACUAUAGGAACCAAUGAAUUGUAAGGCAUAAAAUGGUGAAAAGUACACCUCGGCAAAAUGGACUGGCUGAGAGGAUGAAUCGUACUAUUCUUGAAAAGGUAAGAUGCAUAUUGAUAAAUGCAAGAUUACUUACAAAGUUUUGGGCAGAAAUUGUCCAUACAACAUGUCACUUGAUUAAAAAAUGCCCUUGAAGUGCCAUAAAUUUCAAAACACCUUAAGAAGUAUGAAUAGGUAAACCAGGGAGUUACCAACACCUUAGAGUGUUUGGGUUAACAACAUAUGCACUUGUAGAUGACGGAAAGUUGCAACCAAGAGCAAAUAAAUAUUUAUUUCUUGGAUAUCCUACUGGAGUGAAGGGGUAUAAGUUAUGGUGUCCGAAUUUGAGAAAAAGAAUAAUCAAUAGAGACGUUACUUUCAAAGAAAAUGAAUUGUUGGGUUUUGAAGAAAAAACAAGUGGUGAAGCUGUGAAUUAUGAUGUGAAAUAGUUGGUGGAGUUUCAAGUUGAGGAAUCACAAGAAACAAAAACUAUAACUGAGGAAAUAAGUGCAGUCCAGCAAAAUGAAUCAACUAACGGUGGUCAACAAUAUGAAUCAACAGCUCAGGGUGAACUAACUUAUAAUUGUUAACAAUAGCAUGAGUCAGCAAUUCAGGAUCAACAUCUACAAGAUUAUAUACUUUCCAAGGAUAGAAUAAGGUGUGAGAUCAGAUUGCCUUAGAAUUUUGCACAAGCUGAUGUUGUUACUUAUGCAUUGCAAACAACAUAGGAGAUAAUGGAUGAAGAUCCCAUUAGUUAUCCACAAGCAAUGAAAAGUAAGGAGUCAAGUCAAUGGUAUGAAGCAAUGGUUCAAGAAAUGAAUUCACUUAAAAAAAAAUAGAACUUCAGAAUUGGUCAGAAAACCAGAUGGCACAAAAGUCAUGGGGUACAAAUGGAUAUAUAAGAAGGUUGGUAUUCCUGGAGUAGAACCCAAGAGAUUCAAAGCACACUUAGUGGCAAAAGAGUACUCACAAAGGGAAGGUAUUGACUACAAAGAAAUUUUCUUCCCAGUGGUAAGGCACAUUUCAAUCAGAAUGUUGCUAGCGAUGACAGUUGCAGGUGAUUAUGAGUUGGAACAAAUGGAUGUAAAGACGACAUUUUUACGUGGAAAUGUUGAUGAAAAGAUACUGAUGGAACAACCAAAGGGUUUCAAAACAAAAGAAAAGGAUCGGAAUACCACGUGUGUUUGCUUAAGAAAUCGUUAAAUGGCUUGAAACAAGCACCUAGACAAUGGUAUAAGUGUUUUGCUAGUUUAAUGGUUGAGAACAAGUUCAGUAGAAGUCAAUAUGAUAGUUGUGUAUGAUAGCAACAAUUGAAAAAUGGGAAUUACAUCUAUUUGUUGUUGUAUGUUGAUGAUAUGUUGCUAUAUGCAAGGACAUGGAGGAAAUCAAUAGGUUGAAAUUACUCUUGAACUCAAAAUUUGAGAUGAAGGAUCUAGGAUCGGCUAAAAAGAUUCUAGAAAUGGAGAUUAAGAGAGACAGAUCACAGAGAAAGCUAUGGUUGCUGUAAAAAGAUUACACUGAGAGGGUUCUACAAAGGUUUGGAAUGAAAGAAGCUAAAUCAGUGGUGGCUCCAAUGGAAUCUAAUUUGAAUUUAAGUUUGGCUGAUGCACCGGAAACUAAAAACGAUAAGUAAUACAUGUCUAAGGUACCAUACUUAAAUGCAAUGGGAUCACUAAUGUAUGCUAUGGUUUGUACUCAUCCAAAAUUGGCAUAUUCUUUUAGUAUGGUCAAUAGAUACAUAUGCAAUCUAAGGAAAGUCCAUUAGCAAGUAGUCAAGAAGAUAUUGAGAGAUCUUAGAAGGACUAGUAGACUUGGAUUACUUUAUGGAGAUGGUUUAGCUAAAGGUGGAGUUGUAGAAGGCUUUUUAGAUUUAGACUUUGGUGGAGAUGUGGAUAAGAGAAAAUCAUUGAUUGGAUAUGUGCUUACAGCUUGGGGAAGUGCAAUAAGCUGAAAGGCAAAGCUACAAUCAAUUGUGGCUCUUUCUUCCAUAGAGGCAGAAUACAUAGCUACAAUUGAAGCCAUGAAAAAAGGCUUAUGGAUUAAGGGAAUGAUCAAUGAGUUAAGAAUUAAUCAAAAGGCUGUGGUUAUACACUGUGACAGCCCAAGUGCUUUACACUUGAUGAAGAAUCAUGUAUAUCAUGGGAGAACUAAACAUAUCGAUGUUUGAAUGCACUUUAUUUGAGACAUACUUGCUCAAGGAUUUGUUGUGAUGAAGAAGAUCUGUACUAAAAGAAACAUAACUGAUAUGUUGACAAAAGUUCUUCCUUCAAACAAACCCAGGCUCUGUUUGAGCCUAAUUGGAGUAAUCCAAGAGUAGAGAAAGCAUGUGGAAGGGACUUGAAGGUUUAUGGAUGCACUGAACUUGAGUCAAGGUGGAGAAUUGUUCUGUGACUCACAUUUAAAAAAAAAAAAAAGAAAAAAAAAAUUGAAUGGGUGUGGUUACCAAUAUGCACAUUUACUAGGAGUUAUAGCAUUUUUUUCUCGUGUGGUUCAAAGAGAAGAACAAUUUUGUUAUAAAAAUAAAUAAUAAAAAAAUGCUAAGAGAGAUAAGGUUAGAAUUGUUUUUCUUAAGGAAAUCUCCGUUAAUGCUGUAUGGUGAGGUGUGUGCAUAAAAGCUCAAUUCAUAUAAGAGCUUUGAGGGUGUAAUUUUUCAGUGAUGGUGCAUCAUCUAAGUCCCCUUUCCUUUGUGGAUGUAGAUCAAUUUGAUUGAACCCACAUAAAUGAUUGUGUUUGUUUUCUUUUACUGCAUUGUUGAUUGAAUUCUUGUUAGUUUUCGCAUAUUACAUCUUGUUAUUUUGUUUUUUUUGUUUAAGAAAGUUUAACAGCUAUGGAUUGGAAAAAACAAGUAAUUAUAUUGUAACAUGUUAUUUUAUAUAUUUUGUAAAAGAGUACUAAAUCAAAACUUCAAUAUUAUUUUUAUUUAAACUAUGAUUCAUAUAUAAGAUUCCCUAUCCCUUGCCCUAGUCAAGUCUAAGAAUUGAUCCUAAGUCACUUUGUUUCGUUGACUUAAUUGUUAAUUUUCAGACUUUAUUUAAAUGGAAAUGCCUAAAAUAUAACAAGAAAAAAAAAAAAGGAAAAAAAAUGCCGAAGUCCAAUUCCCCUUCAACAAUGCAAAGAGGUGAUUUAAUAAAGAGGUAUUUAAUGAUUGAUCAUAACAGAUCAUAGUACAAGGUUUUUAAUUCCUUUUUAUGAUAAGGGUUCUUGAAAGCAAUUCUAGAAAUGAAGGGACAAGAGAAGGACCAGUUGUAAUUUUCUAUAAUAAUUGUUUUUCUAUUCUAAAUCAAGCUAUUUUUAAUUAUUAAAAACAACAAGCUUAUAAAAGUUUUAGGAAUAUUCUAAAAAUUAUAAAAAAAAAUUCCUUAAUUAAUUUUUUUUUUCACCAUUUGAGUUGUUGGGAAAAAAGGCAUAUUGAGGCGAAGAUAACACCUUUCAAAAAAACGAAAAUUAUUUCAUAACUCUUAUAAAGUAUUUUCUAUUCUUUGUCACAUUUUUAUCCAUCAUCUACCUAUUAUUUUCAUAAACUCAACUCCAUCUCAUAAACUUUUCCUAUUAUAACUUAAUAAUAUAAUAUAAUAUAAUAUAAUAUAAUAAUAUAUAUAUAUGAAUUUUCUUGGUUCCAUAAAAAAUUUAUACCAACCUAAAAAUAAUUUUAUAUAACAUUCAUUACAAAAAUAUAUAUACUAAUCAAUAAAUUGAGAGACUUCUAACAAGAAGAAUACAAGAAAAUAAUUGUUAGAUUGACAGUGGAAAAAAAUGAUAAAAUUACAAAUGUAUUGUUUUUUUUUUUUUUCAUUUAUUAAGGGGAUUACACUUAAAAUAACCCAAUUUUAGAAAAUAUUUUUAAAAGAAUUUUUUUACAACAUUAUCAAAUAGAAUUUUUCUAUGAUUUUCAAUUUCUUUUAAAACAUAAUUGUGACUUUCUUUAUUCUUUUAUGAGAUAUUUAAUAAUAAAAUUUAAUAUAAGAAGCUCAUAUAUGGUAAGUCACUUUAAUUGGACAGGCCACCUACAUUAUAUUAUUGUCACGUCAAUGGCAGGUAUCAAAUAGGGCCAUUGAUACGAGCCGUAGAAAAUGUGAAUUUUGAUAUAGGUUAAAUAUUUAUUCACUUUGUAAUAAUUAUUUGUAAGAAUUUACCUAUGCACUCACUUUUCUAUAUAUCCCAUUAAAGACGACACACGUCUUAAUUAAAAUGCAUGCAAUCGAAAAUUGUCAUCUUUAAUGCAUACACAAUUGACAAAAAAGAAAUCAUCCUAAAUAAUAGAGAUUAACUACAAAAAUAGGAUAUAGUUUAACUAAAUUAUGAAAAAAUGAAACUACAUUACUAAAAAAAUUUGAUGAUACGAUUGCAUUGAUAGUAAAAGUUAAUGUUUUUCCUUAAUUUAAAUAUUAAUAUUUAUCUAUUAUUAAUUUAAAUUAUAAUAGAAGAUAAUUAUCAUUAAUUUGAAUUACAUAUGAAAUAUAGUUUGAAUUAGAGUAAAAGUAAAGGUUUAUCCCCAAACAUUAUUUAUAUAUAAAUAUUCAUCAAUCAUUCUUGAAAAAACAAUAACACCUAGAAGGGGUGAAUAGGUGUUAAUAAUAUUAACCCAAAAGUUAAGUUUUUUUAAUUCAAUUAGUUCCUUUAAGAGAGUAGAAAAAAUUAAAAGCAAUAUAAUACAAAAGAAAAAAAGAAUUUCUUUUUUUCAUGAAAAACCUUCAUAGAGAUAAAAUANNNNNNNNNNNNNNNNNNNNNNNNNNNNNNNNNNNNNNNNNNNNNNNNNNNNNNNNNNNNNNNNNNNNNNNNNNNNNNNNNNNNNNNNNNNNNNNNNNNNGAUCUCGCCUCAUCUACUCAGGGGAUAUAGAUCUCCUUCAUAAUCCAACGAAUGGAAAGCUAAGUGUAUUUGAGUUUUAGGGUUAAGUGUAAAGAAUAAUGACUUAAAAGUUUAGGUACAUUCAUUCUUGAGAUAACUCUCUCAGUAGGCAACCAUAAGAGAAAACCUAGUCAACUUGGAAUUAAUUUAGAAACCAUAUUUUACUAAAAACAAUUUUAAAAAAUUAAGAAUUUUAGAAAGAUUUGGAAAGAUUUCAUAUUUUAAUUUCAAAAAUAUUUGAAAAGAUUUUCCUUUUAAAAUUCUUAAUUUAACUUCUUUCCCAUAUCUUUUCUAAAUUCCUUAAAAGAUUUGAAAACAUACUUUCCUAUUUAAUCCCGAGUUGAUUCUACAACAACAUAAAAUCUUCAAAUGAAUGUAAAUUAUAAGAAAGUACACAGAGUCCUAAAUCAGGAUGGAUAGAACAAAAUUGUCAACUUAAUCUAAAAAGCCUAAUGCAUUAACAAUCUCUCUCUUAGCAAUUUUGUGAUAAAAUAAUGAUUAUAUAAACCCACCAAUACUCCCAAACAGAGUUUAAUAAUCACUCAAAGUCGUUCAUCUAAACCAAACAUUCUAUAAACUGAUAUUCAAAUAUAUCAAACUCAUAUAAAAAGUUCUUACAAGUUUGGAACUUGUGAUUCUACAUAGACUUAAACAAAAAUUCCCAUAAAAAGUAAUAUCUUAGAAAAUGGAUAAACCAAAUUAGUCUUAUCAUAGUCUAUUAAACAAACAAUCAAAUUUCAUCAUAAAUAUCAAUCCCAAAUUAUCAAUCUUAUAUCAAAACAAUCAUAUUUCUUCCAUUUUUUGUCAUAAAAAUGACAUAAACAAAUAAAUAAGGCAUGAAAAGAACGUAAGAGAGAGAUAAUGAAGCAAAAAAAAAUAUCGAGCACGAAAGUGCUCAAUACUCCAAAUCAAGCAAUAAGAACAAUUUGAACGCUUCUUUGAGUGUAUGAAAUAUCCUCUUUGACGUAAACAAAUCGAGAAACUCAACCUUUUAAACCUAAAGAGGCCGAAAAAGCUAUGAUAGACAAAAAAUUUCAACCUAGAGAUCAACCACACUGAAUAAACUUGAAAAUUUAGAAGGAACAAAAAUAAAUCAAGUAGACAAAUCCAUAGAUUUAGAAAUACAAGAUAGAAUUACCGUAUCCAAAGAAAAACAUUAAUCACAAUCUUGAUUUAAAAAUUAUUUUAAUAUCAAUCUACUUAUAAUAGAACUAAAGAAACCAAUGGUAUUGUUUAUCAAGGGUAUCAACUUACCGUCAAACUCUAGAUUUUGAUUUUGAAUUUCCCAGAAGAUACUAAACCACAUCAAGUACUAAUUAACAAAGUUCCUUGGAUUUCUAUUUAACAUGACAAUAGUUGAUUUACAUGAAACACAACUUUUUCUCCCCUCAAUUAGAUAUCAUUAUUUUUCUUUUUAUUUUAUUUUGAAAAGUGGAGACAUUGUCCACCAAAUAUAGAAAUCAUACUUCCAACAUGGUUGCCUUUUUCCAUUUAGAGUGUGCUUCUAAAUUUUACAAAUGAUGACAUCAUAUUCUUGGAAAGAAUCUUGAAUUUUAUUUUAGCCAAGAUGCCAAGGAUCACUUUAGGAAAUAAAAUAUUGAACUAAGUCAAACAAGAUAUGUGAAUUUAUAUUUGAACAAGCAUGAUGGUCAUUACUUCCAAAAAAAAAAAAUGCAAAAUCUACUUUAUGAGUUAAAAUUAAGAAAAUUCCCCACUAAUUGCUUACCAAGAAUAAAUUUAGAUUUCCUAAUAUACCUGGAUUUUUAUCUACUUUGAUUCACUACGUAAAAAGUGACUAAGGAGAUUCUAGGGAAUAAAAUCAAAUCUUGUGUGGAUCUAGUACAUCAACAACAACUUAUAGUUGAGGUAUUCAAGUAGUUACUAAUAAAUCAAGUUAAUAAAGUAGAUAGAGAUAUCCUAAGAUUGAUAUAGGAUAGGCCUUGGAUAUAGGAAAGUGGUCAUUAAAAGCAAAAAUCCUUAUAUCUACACCACUUGACAGAUGAACUUACCCUAAACAAAAAGCCUACUCUCAAGCUCACUAUGAAUAAAUAAAUAAAAAUACUAAAAAGAACUCCUAAAAGAAAAAAUGACCCUACAAAUAUCACAACUCUAAGAUAAAGAAAAGAACAAUGCGAAGGCAUCUUAGGCUAUGGAACACAAUGAGCUAAGUAGAUAUAGAAGCUCCUAAAGACUACCUAGGAUCCAAAUUCCUAUGAGAAUCUAGAGGAAUAUAUUUAGACUUAAUUAGGCCCAUAUUCUAGAGGGAGAGGAGGUCUUCUUUCUUUAUCCACAUUUUCUUCAUCUUAAGAGGAGUGCUAAGAGUGUUUUUCUUAUUUCUAGGCCUAGUAUUGGGUUUUCUUCCUUUUUUUAUUGUUCAAGAUAUGAUUUUUAAGGAAGUUUGAUUCUCAAAUAAGCCUAUUUAAAUUGGACUCACACCUCUCAAACAUUCUGCUAAAGCAUCUACUUCAGUGUGUCCAAAUUUCUUACAAAAAGUACACUAGGAAGGUGUCCUAAAAGAAGUUAUAGGUUUAGGAGUUUCCUCCUUACUCUCAACAAAGAUUGUUUCUCUAGUGGGAGUCUCAAUCUUGUUACUAUAGUAUUAACCUCUUUUAUCUCCAUGAGAUUUAUUCUUCUCAAUAUUUUGUUUAAAGUUUUGAAGAAGUAGAUUUUCUUUGAGAGUCGAUCUUUGGAGUUGGAGCAUUAUUUCUCUUAAGAAGAGAUUUAUGCUCAGUCUCAAGAAAACAAUUUUUUUCAAUAUAAUUCAAUUUCUCUUCAUUUAACAUACCCAAUUCCAUUUUAUGUGACUUAUAGGUAGUUUUAACUUUGAUAUAGUUAUUUAGCAAAUGUUGAUAUUCUUUAGCCAAGUUUUCAAGAAAAAGGGCAUUCUCAUCAUCAUUAUAAUCACUAUCACUGCCAAUAUAUCAUGCUCAAAAUCAUAGGAAGCAACAAACGCAAGAUAUUCAUUUUGAUCAUACUUGUGGCUCUCAAAAGUAGUGGAAUUGCUCUUGUUUAAGUUUGUGUCACUCUAGGUUGCCUACAUAGACUUUUUGAUAUCUUGGGACUAGGAUGGUCCAAAAAUAAUCCUCCACAAUUAAAGCAUUCAAUCUUAUUACCAUUAGAGAAUCCCUUAUCUUUUUCUUUAAAAGUAUUCUCAGGUCCUUUGCCCUUUCUAAAGUCUUGCUUCCUAUUAGUCUUUUUGUAAAAUUUCAUGGCAUCUUGAUUCUUGUUGACAUGAGGACAAGUUUCUCUAUUUCUACGUUUUCAAAAUUUUAAGGCCCUUUCUUUUCAUUCUCUAAAGCCUCAAAAAUGGACUCUCUUGGCUUCUAAGAAUCAAGAAGUGUCAUUUCAUAGGUCCAAAGAGAACCAACAAGUUCAUUGACUCUCAUAGAAUCAAUGUCCUUACUUUCCUCUAUAGUUGUGACCUUAAGUCUAAAUCUCUCAAGAAGAGACUUUAAAAUCUUUUUAAUAAGUUUGGUCUUUGGGAUUGUUUCUCUUAGGUUAAAAGAUGAAUUUACGAUGACACCUAGUUUAGAGCAAAAUGCAAAGAAAGUUUGAUCAUCUUGCAUUCUAAUGGACAACUUCAUAGCAGAAGUGUCCUCAUGGGUUACUAAGAAAAUGUCUCAGUAAAUAUGUCAUAUAGGGCCCAAGCAUUGGCCUUAGUACCCUUAUUAUCAAGUCUAUCCCAUUCUUGUUUAGGCUUGAGUUCACAAAUGGAUCUUCUAAUUCCAUCCAAUUUUAAUGGUGACCCUCAUCCAAAUUCUAUAGCGUUCGAAACUUGUUCUUCUUGAAUCUUCAAGCUGAAUCCCAUAUGAGACUUUUGAUGGGGAUAGUUGUCACCAUCAAAGUAGGGCAGAUUAGUAAUGGAAGAGCCUACCCUCUAUUGGUUCAUAUUAGAUUAGCAAGAUUGAUUUUUAUUUUUUAUGAAAAUUUUUUGCUCCGACACCAAAUGGAAAAACAAUGAUCUGAUAGGGUAAUACCUAUAAGGGUUGAAUAAGUGUUUUUAAUAAUAUUAACCCAAAAGCUAAUAUUUUUAAUUCAAUUAGUUCCUUUGAGAGAGUAGAAAAUAUUGAAAGUAAUCCAACACAAAAGUGGCAAAGAAUUUUUUUACAUGGAAAACUCUCGCACAAAGUAUGAAGAUAAAAAACCAUGAAGUCAGACUUCAAAUCAAUAAUAUACUAUAUGAGAACAUAAUACACAGAAUUACCCUGCAUAAGCUAACCUUAGAUUUACUCUCUAGAACCUAUUAUGAUCGAUAUUUACUACACAAUACUUCAUGUGCUCUAGUGGAUCUCGCCUUAGCUCUUGAGGAUAUUUAGAUCUCCUUCACAACCCAAUAGAUGGGAAGCUAAACCCAGUCAGUAGAGUCCUAUUUUCAAGGCUUAGAGGGAUGCUACCUUUAUAGUAUCUUUUCGAUAGGUAACCUAACCUCUGGACUUAGACUUAGGUUUUCAAAAACAUACUCUUCAAAAAAUAGGGAGUCAUUUUUUUAGGGUUUAUUUUUUAUUUUAUUUUCUCUUUUAAAAAUAUAUAAAAAUAAGUGGAAACUCAAAUUUUAUAAAAAUUAGUUUUUCACUAAGAAAAUAAGUCUUGUCGUCAAGUAGGGAUGUAUCUAAAAAAUGCGGGUCCACCAAAAGCCAUGGGAAAAAAAAUCAGCUAGAACAAGACUUAAAAUUUCUGAUACCAUAUCAAAAGGAAUAUAAUAUAAAUUGUAUUCUUAAUUCAUUGCUUUAGUUAUGAUACAAGAUUGGUAUAUAUUUACAAAAAUUUCUCUAAAUAGAAAGCAAAAAAUGAUUAUAUAAUGGAAAACUUGACAUUGAUUUAUGAUAAAAUCAUGCUAUUACAAGAAGAAUAAUGUGGCAACAUAUUGCAAGGAGAAAAUCAUGCUAUUGGUUGACUUGCCUUUAUGUUGCUUAAUAGGAUACUUAGAGUCUAUUUGGCAAUGUUUUAAAAAUACACUUCUUGCAUAAAAAGCAUUUUUGAUAAAAAUAAAAUAAAAAAAGCAGGCAUUUGGCAAAAUUUAGAAAACACUUUUAAGAAGUUAUAAAAUCACUCGUAGUAUUUCUUGGAGAACCACUUGAUAGGUGAUUCUUUCAAAAAUACUUCUAAAGGAUAGAAAAUGAUUAAAAGCAUUUCGUAAUUAAUAAUAGUGCCAAAUGCACUCUUAAUUGAAUGGACUCUUGUAUACAUAUAUAGUCGUAAUAGAUAUUGACAAAACUUAACAUUUGAUUACCAAAUAAUCAAAUAAUACUAUAUUUGAAUAGAACACAAGCACAUAUUUGUGCCUAGGUAUUAUCUUGAUCAUCUUUUUCUUCUUUUUAAGUUUGUAGUUAUUUAAUUAAGAUGGUUAACAAAGGAGAAUGAAUGUUAUCCACAAUCUUACUAAUUCCUAAAGGAGCCCAAAUCAUAAAAAUAGGAGAAACCUUGACGUUAAUAGCGAUAAAUAGUUCUAAAAAUCUAUGCCUAUAGUGACAUAGUUUCUUUGGCUUCAACAAUAGCCAAAUGUAUGAAUAAAAAUAAUUAUUCCUUUUCAACAUCUUUCAUUCCUAGGAAUAACUUUUUCUUAUCGUUCACAAAUAAUCAUUUCAUGUACUAAAGCGUCUAAGGAUAAUUAUUUUGCAUGGUAUUUCACAUGUGAAAUAAACUAAAUUGAUGAAAUUUCAUAGAGAUGAACGAGGCAUCUUAACCCACCCAUUGUUUAAUUAGAGCUCUAGCCUAAAUAAGCUUGAUAUAUAUUGUUCGGCCAUUAUUUUUUAAUAACUUAUAAUAUAUAUUUGAGUCAAAUUUAUAGUUUAGAAAAAUAUAAAAACUUACAACAAACCAUGAAUUUGAACUUAAUCGCAUAUUUAUUAGACUUUAUUGACUCACAUGCAAGCCCAAAAAGGGUAGGGUAUUAGGGUCGUAACCCAAAUCAUCUUGAUGUACAUUGUUAACCCACCAUUACCAAAUAGCUUAUUAAAUUUUUAAGACCAAUUGGUAGUUUAACACCUUGGUUCUCAGUUGUUUAUUUCCUCUAUUAAUGGAGUCCAUAUGCAAGCUCAAGAAAGGUUGUUUGCUAAGCGGAUGUUAGAACUAAAGUUUGUAAUUACCAAAUGGAACUAUGCCACAAUAAAGUUCCUUUACAAGAAUUUCUCGUAAUGAGCCAAAAAAAAAAAAAGAAAGGAAAAAAAAAAACGAGCCAUUUUCCCAUAAUUUCAACACUGACUAAAAUUUUGCCAAUCUUCUACAAAAAGGAAAAUCUCCCACACAGCUUCGCUCACAACCCCAAGAGCUCUUAAAAACCAGCUAGCAAUGGAUCUUUUUCUAAGGUGAUUCAUAUAUAUAUCUUCUUACCAUAGUAACCAUGUGAAAUGUUAGGUCUAAUGCACCCCGUAGCAUAUAUAAUGCUAGCUUCAAACCAUACUAACAUAAGGAAUACACAACCUGUGUUCAUCCACCUCCCUAUUUAUGUGUGAAAACGUGCUUGAAAGUUUGAAAUGAACUACUGAUAUAAUGCUAUUAAGCUUUAAAAAAACCACAUAAUAAGAAUCUAAGUUUAUAAAAUCCAAACUUCAUACAUGUAUAUAAAAAUAAUUAGGAUUUUGUACACUACUACAUUAAAAGUAGUACCUUUGACCAUUCAAUUACUACAUUUUAAUGAUAUAGUUACUAUCUUAAACCAUCACAUAUAUUAUUUUUUAUUAAUAAGUACAUGAAACUUGAAUUAUUUUUAGAAGGUUUUUUAUUUUGUGGAGCUUUUGCAAUUAGUGUGUGGAAAAACAAUUUUUCCUUUUUGUUUUCAAUAUACGUACUUCUGGUAUGGUAUAGGUAAAAUUUGUCCACUUCUCAAUCUCUAUACCUUUUCAUAACUAAUAUUUUCUUUGAAAUCACAAAAUAGUUCUUAACUUAAUUAGGUUAAAAAUAUUCUUACAAAUAAUUAACUUAUAUUAAUAUUUAAUAACAAAAAAAAAAGCAUUUUUGUGAUAAUCACAAUUAUCAUUUACUCAUUCUUAUAUAUAAGAAGCAUCACCAAUUAUCAAUAUAUCAUUUCAUACCACUACCUAUCUGCUUGUUUCACUACAAUAAAAAACGGUUUUAAUGACAAAUUACUUAUGACAUGCAUUUUGGGCAUGUUAAGUAGAUUUCACAAUAUGUUUAUACAACAACUUUAUAUUUGUGAAAAGAGUUUCAACACUAACCUGAAAAGGCAUAUCAUCGCCUUUGCAGGAAACUCCAAAAAUCAGCCACUGCCAUGCCCAUUCAGCAUGUUAACCAAAUCAUGUACACACACAAGUAGAAAAUAAAGAACACAAAAUUUUUAACGUGGUUUAACAAUCAAUGUGAUCCCUACGUUCACAGAGUGCACCAACACUCAAUAAUCCACUAAUCAAAAUGAAUAAAGAGUACAAUGGUGAAAUUCUCAAAAACCCUCUCAAUUGCAACCACACUCUAAAAAACAAAACCCUAAAAUAUAAAAGAGUUCAAAUAUAUAAUAGGAGCAAACUCAUCAAUCAUCAUAUAAAAAAAUUUUCUCUAGAGGCGUUGUCCCCUUCAAUCCCGGCAAGCUAAAUAGGCAGCUUGAUCCUCAUGAACUCAAUGGGGAGCUCGACCCCUCUAAGUUGAUCGGGUAGCUCAACCCUUAGUAUCAUGAGCGAAGCACAACAAAACUUAUUCAAACUUCACAAUUGAACACAAAAAAUUGUCCUCUAUCUCCUCCCGUGACAGUUGCUACCCAAACUCAAAACCACCAUUGAAUAACCAUCCUUGAGGUUUAUAAAAGAGGAGGCUAACUUCCAUUCAUGCCAUCUCUCUAGAGCAAAGAAUAGGAGUGUCAUGCUGUGAGCAAAGAGAAAAUGGGGAAAGGCUUCAAUAGGACCUAAUAGCCAUGUAGGCUAUUAGGUUUUGGGCCAUAGGGUAAGCUAGGCUUAUGCUUGGGGAUGUAGGCUAUUAGCUUUUGGGCCUAGUUAGUGUUUUAGUGUUACGGGCUUGGUUGAUAGCUUUGGGAUUGAAAUCUAAGUCUGGUUUAGGCCUAUUUUAAGUACCCUUUUGGAUGUGUUUAGAUGACUUUUUUUCUUUCUUUCUUCUUUUAAGUUACUUAUUAUUAUGUUCUCAUUUUAUAUAUUUUACAUAAAUUUUGAGUGCCUUUUUAUACUUUUAUUGACAUUGUGGUUGCAAUUUAGAGUUCUUUUUAUAAAUUAUUAGCUAUAAUUAUCACUACAACCACAUACUUAUAAUAUUAUUAUGAGCUAUAUAUCAUUCCUACAAUUAUUGAUUGGAUUCUAUAGAUAUUUCGCUUCAAUUUGCUUUUUAAAUAUGAUGCUCACUUUAGGUAUAUUUUUGUACAAUUAGCUUUGGUUUUUAUGUUUUCUUCAAAAAUGUCACCCAGUUAACAUGUCAGUCAUUCCUUAUGCUAUAGUUACUUCAAAUGUAUACAUAGUUAAAAAAAUUAAUCAAUGAUAAAAUAAGAUCCUUUGAGAAAAGAAACGUCAAGUUCAAUGCAAUAAUGGAAUAAAUUAAAGUAUCAACCUAAUCUAAGACUAAUACACAAGUGAUGACUUGAGACUGCUUUGGUGCUUGCUACAAUGAUGACUUAGACUAUGUACUACAUAAACUUUGAGUGUCUUUUUAAUUAUGCCCUUAUUGAAAUUACGGUGGCAAUUUGGAGUUUUAAAAUAAAUUAUUAGCUAUAAUAAUCACUACAACUACAUAAUUAUAAUAUUCUAGUGGGCUUUCUUUCCUACAAUUAUUUAUUGGAUUCUAUAGAUAUUUCCCUUCAAUUUGCUUUUUAUAUAUGCUGCUCACUUUAGGUAUAUUUUUGUGCAAUUAAUUUGCUCCAUUUUUUUAUGUUUUCUUCAAAAAUUUUACCUAAUAAACAUGUCAUAGCCAUUCCUUUUGUUGGAGUUACUUCAACUAUGUACAUAGUUAAAAAAAAUAAUCUAUUAAAAAAUAAAAUAGUUUGACAAAAGACAUAUCAAAUUCAAUGCAAGAAUGAAAUAAAUUAAUCCAUCAAGACAAGUGAUGGCUUGAGACUUCUUAGGUGCAUGCUAUAAUGAUGACCUAAGACUGCUUUUAUAUAUUUUACAUAAAUUUUGAGUGCCUUUUUAUGACUUCAUUGAAAUUGUGGUGCAAGAAUGAAAUAAAUUAAUCCAUCAAGACAAGCGAUGGCUUGAGACUUCUUAGGUGCAUGCUAUAAUGAUGACGUAAGACUGCUUUUAUAUAUUUUACAUAAAUUUUUUGAGUGCCUUUUUAAUUAUGACUUCAUUGAAAUUGUGGUGCAAGAAUGAAAUAAAUUAAUCCAUCAAGACAAGUGAUGGCUUGAGACUUCUUAGGUGCAUGCUAUAAUGAUGACCUAAGACUGCUUUUAUAUAUUUUACAUAAAUUUUCAGUGCCUUUUUAUGACUUCAUUGAAAUUGUGGUUGCAAUUUGGAGUUCUUUUUAUAAGUUAUUAGCAAUAAUGGUCACUACAACUAUAUAAUUAUAAUAUUCUUGUUAGCUUUCUUUCCUACAGUUCUUCAUUGGAAUGUAUUGAUAUAUUUCCCUUCAAUUUGCUUCAUAUAUAUAUAUAUAUAUAUAUAUAUAUAUAUAUAUAUAUAUAUGUAUAUGUGCUCACUUUAUGUAUAUUUUUGUUCAAUUAGUUCUGUUUUUAAUGUUUUUUUUUCAAAAUUUUCACCUAAUGAGCAUGACAUACUGAUCCUUUAUACUAUAAUUACUUUAAAUGCAUAUAUAGUUACAAAAUUAAUUAGUUAGAAAAUAAAAUCCUUCAAGAAAAGACACACAAAACUCAAUGAAAGAAUGGAAUUAAAAAAAAAAUUAUUAACCUAACCUAAUAUAUUAACACAAGUGAUGACUUGGGAAUGCUUAAGUGCAUGCUAUGUCAUUAAUAUGCAAACAUAACACAUUCUUUGGUUGAGGACCCCACAUGUCACAAAGAUUUUCUAUCAAAUAAUAGAUCUAUUUUAACUCAGUGCUACUUUACCUACAAAGAUAUAUUAAUUUAUAAAGAAGCAAAAUUAGAAAAAGUUAUUUUUGGAGUCAUGCUAGUCAUCAUUAUGAGAUAAAAAUUUAGAAAAAAUCAACUUUGUAGUCAUACUAAUCAUCAUUAUCAGAUAAAUUUGUCUCAUCUAAUUGUCUAACCUAACUAAUGUUAGAUAAAUUUAGUUCAUCUAAUAGUCUAACCAAACUAAUGUUGGCCUUGCACAAUGGAGAAGGUUUAUGAGUGGUUGUUGUCAUACCUUUUAAUUUGCAUUUACUUACAUAAUCAAGAAGGAAUUUUAGUUAUUGUUUGAGUCAUGAUCAAGACUUUACAAUGCAUUUAGCUCUUUCGAUUGCCUAAUGAAAGUAAUAACUAAUAGUGAUUGAUGAGGGUUUGGAGUCAUGUUAUCAUCUUAUUGAGUGGUUUUUGUCAAAGUGGGAGCCAUGCACCAAGACUUGUUGAGUUAAUGCAUUGAACUUCUUCCCAUGUUCCAUAAUUUGACAUUAAUCCUUUGUUUGAUUCUUCAAAAAUCUAAGAGGAAAAACUAAGGAACUAAAAUAAAGAAGAAAAAACAUUAUAGAAUUAAAAAUAUAAUUAAAGUUAAUAAAUUAUUUAUAUAUACUUUCAAUUCAUUUCAUUUAUUUUUUUUAUCUUCUAUAUAAAAAUUAAAUAAUUUGUUUGAUUCUUCAUAUAUAUGUUUUAACUAAUUUUAAUUAUAUUUUAUUUUAUUUCAUCUUCUCUAUGUUAUAUCAAAUUAAUAUGAAAAAAAAUUGUCUUCCAUUGAUACUUCUGAAACCAAACAUAGUUUAAAGGGUUGGAAAUGACUAGAUUUUGGCUAUUAAGAGUUUUAUAUUAAGUCUAUUUAGUAGCAGAGUAAGAUUAUAAAAAUUAAAAUGACAUUAAAUUUGAAAGUUGAAAUGAACUAAAAAGCUUGAUUAAAAUUAGGGAUGUGUAAUUCAAACAACUCAUGAGAGAGGUUUAAAAAUUUUAGUAUCCUCUAUUCCAAGUUCAUAGAUGGCCUCAAUAUAAACAACUUCAAUCAUGCAAUAGUGAAGAUAAAGGUUUUACUUAUUGCAAAGAUACAUGAAAAGUCACAUAAAAAUAAAAGACCAUAGGAUAAAAUAAAAAUGGUCUAUCAAGGCUUAAAAUGAUUUUUUAUAAAGAUACAAAAGUAACCUCCAUAUUCCAUCCAAUUAAUUCAAAGCCAUAUAAUUUGAGGAAUUUUCUACCCUCUAAUAAAACUUAAAAAUACAAAUUAAAUAAAUUCUUUAUCACCUCAAAUUAAAUAAAUUCUUUAUCACCUUAGAAACUCAAGUAGACAAAUAAAUAAGAGGAUGUUUAAAAGUGUGUCUAAUAAAAGUAUUUUUUUAAUUUACAGAGCCUUUAUCAAUAACAGUUUCAAUAUAUUAUCAAAGAAAUAAUGACAAUAGUUUUUUAUUAAAAAAAUUAUCUUUAUUAUAUACUAGUUUAAGUUAUCAAAAAACAAAAAUUAGUCAUUGUGAAAAAAAAAGAAAAAAUAUUAUAAGUUUAAAUUUAAAAUUAAUGAGUUGAAACUUAUAUUUCUUGAAUUGGAUGGUUUAUUUAGUCAUUGGAUUUUUACUUUUUUAUUUAUUAUAUUUAUGUGAAUUUGGAGACAAAAGCCAACUUUUAAUUAUUAAGUAGAAAAAAAAUAUUAUCAUUAUGUGGAAACCAUGGAUUGAGUUUUCUUCUUUGUGGAAUUAAAAAUAAGUUAAAAUAAUGUAAUAUAAUUUGAAAAAAAGAUAUAACAAAAUUUAUAUUUUGAACAUGCCUUUUUACAUCAUAUUUAGUGUAAAAAUAUAAGUACACGAAUAUAAGUAUCAUCACAUUGUGCAAUUUUUUAUUUUUUGUUAGCAAAAUUUCAUGUCAUAACAAAGGAAAAUUACAAGGAAAACAACAAAUAAUUCUUACAUUUAGAUAUAUUUCCAUUUUUUUUAUUUUUAAAAGAAGAAAACAUGAAUAGAAAUAAUUUUUUUCUAUAUCUUAUUUUUCAAAGAUAAUUUUAUUAAAUUUUAAAAUAUAAAAUUAUUUAAAAAUAAACAACAAACCAUGUUCUUUUUUAAGGAAACGUUAAAACUUUUAUUUCUUAAAGAAAAAAUAGAAACAAAAUUUUUAUCUUAUACACAAGCCAGAACUAGUUCUUCAUUAACAAAAAAUUGAUGAAAAAUAAUCCCACACAUGACCUCAAUUGUUUUAUAAAUUUAUGGUUGUCUCUUUGUUAAUCUACAAUUUUAAAUGUUUUUUCAAUUUUUUCAAUUUUUUCAUUUAAAAUUUUAUUUUAAAAAAUAUAAAUAGAAAAGGAAAAGCUAUUAAAAAAAAAAUUCAAUCUUUCAAUUACAAGCCAUGAGGAUUAUUCUUUUUGCCCCAUUGAUGUUCAUAUUCAUAGAAUGCAUUUAAGGUAUUGGUAAACAACUAAUGCUAAAUUCAUUUUAUAUAAAAGUAUUGCAAGUAGAGUGGUAGAAUAACCAACUUUAUGUCAAAUAUGGUUGCUGAUUAAUAUAUUUGAAAAGUUGUUAUAGGAAAUGACUAAGUAGGUAAUGGAAACAUCAGAUGCAUAUUUCCACCCAUCUAACAAUGGCCCUCCAAUAUCCUUCAUAGUUUAAAAAUUAACUAAUUAUAAAAUAAGAUCCUUUGAGAAAAGACACAUCAAACUUAAUGCAAGAAUGAAAUAUAUUAAAUUAUCAACUUAAUCUAAUACAGCGACACAAGUGAUGACUUGAGACUGCUUAGGUGCAUGCUAUAAUGAUGACUUGAGACUGGUUUUAUAUAUUUUAUAUAAAUUUUGAGUGCCUUUUUAUGCUUUUAUUGAAUUUGUGGUUGCAAUUUGGAGUUCUUUUGAAAAAUUAUUAGCUAUAAUUAUCACUACAAUUAUAAUUAUAAUAUUGUUGUGAGCUUCCUACCUAUAAUUAUUCGUGUGAAUCUAUUGAUAUUUCCCUUCAAUUUGCUUUUUCUAUAUGAUGCUUCCUUUAAGUUUAUUUUUGUGCAAUUUACUCUGUUUUUUUAUGUUUUCUUCAAAAUUUUCACCUUGUGAACAUGUCAUAGCCACUCCUUAUGUUGUAGUUACUUCAAACGUAUACUUAAAAAAUUAAUCAAUUAUAAAGUAAGAUCCUUUGAGAAAAACACAUUAAACUCAAUGAAAGACAGUAAUAAAUUAAAUCAUUAACCUAAUCUAAUGUAUCAACACAAGUGAUGACUUGAGAAUGCUUAAGUGCUUGCUAAGUCAUUAAUAUGCAAACUCAACACAUUCUUUGGUUUAGGGCCCCAAAUGUCUCAAAGACUUUCUAUCAAAUAAUAGAUCUAUUUUAACUCAUUGCUACUUUACCAACAAAGACAGAUUAAUUUAUAAGGAAGCAAAAUAUCAUUAUGCAACUUUAGAAAAAGUCAUUCUUGGAGUCAUGCUAGUCAUCAUUAUGAGUCAUGCUAAUCACCAUUAUUAGAUGAAUUGGUCUCAUCUAAUAGUCUAACCUAACUAAUGUUAGAUAAAUUUGGCUCAUCUAAUAGUCUAAUCAAACUAAUGUUGACCUUGCACGAUAGAGAAGAUUUAUGAGAAGUUGUUAUUGUACUUAAUUUUUUAGCAUUUACUUGCAUAAUCAAAAAAGAAUUUUAGUUAUUCUUUAAUUCAUGAUCAAGACUUUUCAAUGCAUUCAACUCUUUUGAUAGGCUAAUUAAAGUAAUAAUUAAUAGUAAUUGAUGAGUGCUUGGAAUCAUGUUAUCAUCUUAUUGAGUGGUUUUUGUCAAAGUGGGAGCCAUACACCAAGACUUGUUGAGUUAGUGCAUUUGCACUUCUUCCCAAGUUCCAUGAUUUGGCAUUAAUCCUUUGUGUGAUUCUUCGAAAAUCUAAGAGAAAAAACUAAGAAAAUAAAAUCAAGAAAAAUCAAAUGCAAAAAAUUACAAAAUUAAAAAUAUAUUUAAAGUUAAUAUAUUAUUUACAUAUAUCAUUUCAUUUAAUUUUUAUCUUCUAUAUAAAAAUUAAAUAAUUUCAAAAUAUAUAUGUUUUAACUAAUUUUAAUCAUAUUUGAUUUUGUUUCAUCUUUUCUAUGAUAUAUCAAACAUGAAAAAAAAUCAUCUUCCACUAAUACUUUUGAAACCAAACAUAGUUUAUAGGAUUGAAAAUGACUAGAUUUUGGACAUUUAGAGUUUUAAUAUGUGAUUAAGUCUAUUUAAGGAAUUUAUACCAUCUAAUAAAACUUAAAAAUACAAAUUAAAUAAAUUCUUUAUCACCUCAGAUACUCAAGUAGACAAAAAAAAAAAACUAUGUUUGAAAGUGUCUAAUAAAAGUGUUUUUUCAAUUUGCAAAACCUUCAUCAAUAACAGUUUCAAUGUGUUAGUAGCUGUAUUAUCAAAGAAACAAUAACAAUAGUUUUUUUAUUAAAAAAUUAUAUUUUUUAUAUGCUAAUUUAAGUUAUCGAAAAAACAAAAAUUAAUUACUAUAAAAAAAGGAAAAAAAUAUUCUAAGUUUAAAUUUAAAAUUAAUGAGCCGAAACUUAUAUUUCUUGAAUUGGAUGGUCUAUUCAAUCAUUGAAUUUUUACUUCUUUUUUUUUAUUUCUUAUAUUUAUGUGUAUUUUGGGACAAAAGCCAACUCUUUAAUUAUUAAAUAAAAUUGAAAAAAAUAUUACCAUUUCGGGGAAACCAUGGAUUGAGUUUUCUUCUUUGUGGAAUUAAUAUUGAGUUAAAAUAAUGUAAUAUUAUUUGAAAAAAGAAAUAACAAAAUUUACAUUUUGAACAUGCCUUUUUUCAUCAUAUUUAGUGUAAAAAUAUAAGUACACGAAUAUGAGUAUCAUCACAUUGUGCAAUUUUUUUUAUUAUUAUUUUUGUGGCAAAAUUUCAUGCCAUAGCAAAGGAAAAUUGCAAGGAAAACAACAAAUAAUUCUUACAUUUAGAUAUAUUUUCAUUUUUUAUUUUUAAAAGAUGAAAAAACAAAUAGGAAAUAAUUUUUUUUCUAUAUUUUAUUUUUCAAAGAUAAUUUUAUUAAAUUUUAAAAUCUAAAAUAUUUAAAAAUAAACAACAAACCAUGUUUUUUUUAAAGAAAUGUACGUUAAAACUUUUAUUUUUUAAAAGAAAAAAUAGAAACAAAAAUUUUAUCUUAUACACAAGCCAAUUCUUGAUUAACAAAGAAUUGAUGAAAAACAAUUCCAUGCAUGACCUCAAUUGUUUUAUAGAUUUAUGUUGUCUAUUGUUAGUCUACAAUUUUAAAAGUUUUUCAAAUUCAUUCAUUUAAAAUUUUAUAAAAAAAGAAAUUGAAAAUAAAAAAGGAAAAGCUAUUAAAAAAAAAAUUCAAGGUUUCAAUUACAAGCCAUGUGGACUAUUCUUUUUGCCCCAUUGAUGUUCAUAUUCAUAUGAUGCAUUUAAAGUAUUGGUAAACGACUAAUGCUAAAUCCAUUUUACAUAGAAGUAUUGCAGGUAUAGUGGUAGAAUUAACCAACUUUAUGUCUAAUACAAUUGCUAAUUAAUAUAUUUGAAAAGUUGUUAUAGGAAAUGACUGUAGGUAAUGGAAACACAAGAUGCAUAUUUGAUUUUGAGUGUAUAAAUAUGUAUUGAAUAUCCAUCGUUUCCACCCAUCUAACAAUGGCCCUUCAAUAUCCUCCAUCCUAUUCCUCACUCCCCCGACUCAUCAUCAUUCUUUGCUUCUUCAUCAUUCUGUAUUUCCCUUUUUGUUCAACAUCAUCGUCAUUUCAUGUCUCUUCUACAUCUGCUUUUGCUUCUACCACUUCUUUGAUUAUUGAGCAAGAAAAAGAAGCACUUGCUCUUCUAACAUGGAAAUCCAGCCUUCAUAUUCGAUCACAAUCUUUCCUCUCUUCUUGGUCUGGAGUUUCCCCAUGCAAUAAUUGGUUUGGAGUUACUUGCCACAAGUCAAAAAGUGUCUCCAGUUUAAACCUUGAAAGUUGUGGUCUAAGAGGUACGCUCUACAAUCUCAAUUUCUUAUCACUCCCCAAUCUUGUCACUCUUGAUCUUUAUAACAACUCGUUCUAUGGAAUCAUUCCCACCCACAUUAGUAAUCUUUCCAAAUUUAUCACCAUCCUUGACUUGGGUUUCAAUAAUUUUGCUGGUCUCAUACCUCACCAAGUUGGAUUGCUAACAUCUCUUAUUUUUCUUGCAUUGCCUUCCAACCAUUUAAGAGGUCAAAUCCCUCCUUCAAUAGGAAACUUGAGGAACUUAACCAGUUUGUAUCUUUAUAGCAAUGAGUUUUAUGGUUUCAUCCCUCAAGAAAUUGGAUUGUUAAGAUCUCUUAAUAACCUUGUGUUGUCAACUAACAAUCUUAGUGGUCCCAUCCCACCUUCCAUAGGAAACUUGAGGAACUUAACCACUUUGUACCUUCAUACUAACAAACUUUCUGGUUCCAUCCCUAAAGAAAUUGGAUUGUUGAGAUCUCUAAAUGAUCUUGAGUUGUCAGCUAACAAUCUUAGUGGUCCCAUUCCUCAUUCCAUAGGAAAUUUGAGGAAUUUAACCACUUUGUACCUUCAUACUAACAAACUUUCUGGUUCCAUCCCUCAAGAAAUUGGAUUGUUGAGAUCUCUUAAUAAUCUUAAGUUGUCAACUAACAAUCUUAGUGGUCCCAUCCCGCCUUCAAUAGGAAACUUGAGGAAUUUAACCACUUUGUACCUUCAUACUAACAAACUUUCUGGUUCCAUCCCUCAAGAAAUUGGAUUGUUGAGAUCUCUUAAUGAUCUUGAGUUGUCAGCUAACAAUCUUAGUGGUCCCAUCCCUCCUUCCAUAGGAAAUUUGAGGAAUUUAACCACUUUGUACCUUCAUACUAACAAACUUUCUGGUUCCAUCCCUCAAGAAAUUGGAUUGUUGAGAUCUCUUAAUGAUCUUGAGUUGUCAACUAACAAUCUUAAUGGUCCCAUCCCACCUUCCAUAGGAAACUUGAGGAAUUUAACCACUUUGUACCUUCAUACUAACAAACUUUCUGGUUCCAUCCCUAAAGAAAUUGGAAUGUUGAGAUCUCUUAAUGAUCUUGAGUUGUCAACUAACAAUCUCAAUGGUCCCAUCCCACCUUCCAUAGGAAAAUUGAGGAAUUUAACCACUUUGUACCUUCAUAAUAACAAACUUUCUGGUUCCAUUCCUCUAGAAAUUGGAUUAUUGAGAUCUCUCUUUAAUCUUUCAUUGUCAACAAACAAUCUCAGUGGUCCCAUCCCUCCUUUCAUAGGAAACUUGAGGAAUUUAACCAAAUUGUAUCUUGAUAAUAACAGAUUUUCUGGUUCCAUCCCUCGAGAAAUUGGAUUGUUGAGAUCUCUUCAUGAUCUUGCACUAGCAACUAAUAAACUCAGUGGCCCCAUUCCUCAAGAAAUUG